rnacentral:rRNA from 1 species
UACGGAGGAUGCAAGCGUUAUCCGGAAUGAUUGGGCGUAAAGCGUCCGCAGGUGGCUAUGUAAGUCUGCUGUUAAAGAGUCUAGCUCAACUAGAUACAAGCAGUGGAAACUACAAGGCUAGAGUACGUUCGGGGCAGAGGGAAUUCCUGGUGUAGCGGUGAAAUGCGUAGAGAUCAGGAAGAACACCGGUGGCGAAGGCGGCCAGCUAGACCAGUUCUGACACUGAGGCGCGACAGCGUGGGGAGCAAACAGG